rnacentral:rRNA from 1 species
GUGUUGGAAUACAGCGGCAUAGUGGUGAGACCCCCGUAUAUGGUGCGGACGCCCAGCGCUUUGUGAUACAUUUUCGAAGAGUCGAGUUGUUUGGGAAUGCAGCUCAAAUUGGGUGGUAAAUUCCAUCUAAAGCUAAAUAUUGGCGAGAGACCGAUAGCGAACAAGUACCGUGAGGGAAAGAUGAAAAGCACUUUGGAAAGAGAGUUAACAGUACGUGAAAUUGUUGGAAGGGAAACGCUUGAAGUCAGACUUGCUUGCCGAGCAAUCGGUUUGCAGGCCAGCAUCAGUUUUCCGGGAUGGAUAAUGGUAGAGAGAAGGUAGCAGUUUCGGCUGUGUUAUAGCUCUCUGCUGGAUACAUCUUGGGGGACUGAGGAACGCAGUGUGCCUUUGGCGGGGGUUUCGACCUCUUCACACUUAGGAUGCUGGUGGAAUGGGUUUAAACGACCCGU